UACGUAGGGUGCGAGCCUUGUCCGGAAUUACUGGGCGUAAAGAGCUCGUAGGUGGUUUGUCGCGUUGUUCGUGAAAACCGGGGGCUUAACCCUCGGCGUGCGGGCGAUACGGGCAGACUUGAGUACUGCAGGGGAGACUGGAAUUCCUGGUGUAGCGGUGGAAUGCGCAGAUAUCAGGAGGAACACCGGUGGCGAAGGCGGGUCUCUGGGCAGUAACUGACGCUGAGGAGCGAAAGCAUGGGGAGCGAACAGG
rnacentral:rRNA from 1 species